AACACAUAAUAUAAUGUAAUGUAAUAUCACAGUCAUCUUUUCCCCAGCUUUCAGUGAGUUUCCUGGUGAAACAGCGCCCCUCUGGACUGCAACGCCUGGUGAACGUCAGGAUGUGUGGUGAAACGGGGUACUGCAGUUGAAGCAAUCAUGUGGCGGUAACCCGGGUAACCACAGGAACCCAGGUGAAGUUGUCAUCCUCUGAUUAGCUUAAUGUCGAGUAGCCAAUGUUGUGCUAAUGUGUACUGUGAAGAUAAGUCUGAUACUAAACAAAUCAUAGAAAGUUAAAGUUAGCAACGUCAUUCAGAUAAAGAAUCCCAGCUGGCACUUAGCUAACGUUAGCUAAGUUUGUUGCUAGGGGUAAGGAUAUUGACCACUUUGACCCCCAUGAAGGAAACAGACAGACCGUCAUCUUCAAAUAGCUUGACGGUCUGGAAAGGAGUCCAGAACCUGCUGCAUGAACCGGCAUCUGAAGCGGUCCACCAGUCAGGCCUUUACGACAGAAGCUACACUUGAGUAAAAAGCAUAUGGCAGCAUCCCUGCCUUGUAAAAUGGCACUUACAUGAAAACACGAGGAAAGAUUGACCCGACCUAAACCCCAGGUGCUAAAAAACCAGGUAUUGCUCACCGGCAGGCUAAUACCAGCCCUACAGUUACUGUGGGUUGUUAUAUCGGGCAUUCUCUUGAUUCUUAUGAAUUUUCACUCACCCUCUUAAAUUGUACAUGUCCAGGAAUCUCCACCUACAGAUCUUUUUCCUCAUACAGGCUGAUGCUCUUCUUUCUCAUGUAACCUGGAAAAAUGUGAUAACGACCCAGACAACUUAGCAACAACUAAACAAUUGGCAGUCCCUCAUUGAAGUGUUGUAACAUACCAAUCUCUUGGUGAAUGAGAAGGUGGAUAGUGAUAGUGGAAGUAUAAGCUCCAGGCAGUAAUCUAUGCGUGUGCGUCAGAGACAUGUCCUCUUGUGUAAGACUCCUUGGUCUUUUCAGGAAUCUCCCCUGAGGAAAUAGCACAGUCUGUAAUUACCUCGUGAAAUGCGUGGGUUUUGGUUUUUUUUAACAAAUAACUUCUGGCACACAAUCUCCAGUUUGGGGUCAUCCUCAAUGAACACCUCAGCUAGAUGAAACAACCACACACACUGUCACUGCACACAGAUG
rnacentral:lncRNA from 15 species